rnacentral:rRNA from 1 species
AUUGAACGCUGGCGGCAUGCCUUACACAUGCAAGUCGAACGGCAGCACGGGUGCUUGCACCUGGUGGCGAGUGGCGAACGGGUGAGUAAUACAUCGGAACGUACCUUAUCGUGGGGGAUAACGCAGCGAAAGCUGUGCUAAUACCGCAUACGCCCUGAGGGGGAAAGCGGGGGAUCGCAAGACCUCGCGCGAUUAGAGCGGCCGAUGCCUGAUUAGCUAGUUGGUGGGGUAAAAGCCCACCAAGGCGACGAUCAGUAGCUGGUCUGAGAGGACGAUCAGCCACACUGGGACUGAGACACGGCCCAGACUCCUACGGGAGGCAGCAGUGGGGAAUUUUGGACAAUGGGGGCAACCCUGAUCCAGCAAUGCCGCGUGAGUGAAGAAGGCCUUCGGGGUGUAAAGCUCUUUUGUCAGGGAAGAAACACCGGCUCUAACACAGUCCGGGAAUGACGGUACCUGAAGAAUAAGCACCGGCUAACUACGUGCCAGCAGCCGCGGUAA